rnacentral:ncRNA from 2 species
GAGAAGGCGCCUGAGAGAUAGCGACUAUAUCCACGGGUAGCAGCAGGCGCGAAACUUUCCCACUCGAGACUUUCGGAGGAGGUAAUGACCAGUUCCAUUGGUGCCUUUUGGUACUGUGGAUAGGGGUACGGUUUUCCACCGUACCGAAACCUAGCAGAGGGCCAGUCUGGUGCCAGCAGCUGCGGUAAUUCCAGCUCUGCGAGUUUGCUCCCAUAUUGUUGCAGUUAAAACGCCCGUAGUCUGAAUUGGCCAGCAAUGGUCGUACGUAUUUUUACGUUCACUGUGAACAAAUCAGGACGCUUAGAGUAUGGCCACAUGAAUGACUCAGCGCAGUAUGAAGUCUUUGUUUUCUUCCGAAAACAAGCUCAAUGAGAGCCAUCGGGGGUAGAUCUAUCUCAUGACGAGUGGUGGAAUACUUUGACUCAUGAGAGAGAAGCUGAGGCGAAGGCGUCUACCUAGAGGGUUUCUGUCGAUCAAGGGCGAGAGUAGGAGUAUCCAACAGGAUUAGAGACCCUGGUAGUUCCUACCUUAAACGAUGCCGACAGGAGUUUGUCAUUUGUUAAUGGCAGAAUCUUUGGAGAAAUCAUAGUUCUUGGGCUCUGGGGGAACUACGACCGCAAGGCUGAAACUUGAAGGAAUUGACGGAAGGGCACACCAGGGGUGGAGCCUGUGGCUUAAUUUGAAUCAACACGGGGAAACUUACCAGGACCAAAUGUUUUUUAUGACUGACAGGCUUCGGGUCUUUCAG